rnacentral:rRNA from 1 species
AUUGAACGCUGGCGGCAGGCUUAACACAUGCAAGUCGAGCGAGCGGCGGACGGGUGAGUAAUGUAUGGGAAACUGCCUGAUGGAGGGGGAUAACUACUGGAAACGGUAGCUAAUACCGCAUACCAUCAGAUGUGCCCAGAUGGGAUUAGCUAGUAGGUGGGGUAAUGGCUCACCUAGGCGACGAUCCCUAGCUGGUCUGAGUGGAUGACCAGCCACACUGGACCGGAGACACGGUCCAGACUCCUACGGGAGGCAGCAGUGGGGAAUAUUGCACAAUGGGCGCAAGCCUGAUGCAGCCAUGCCGCGUGUGUGAAGAAGGCCUUCGGGUUGUAAAGCACUUUCAGCGAGGAGGCGUUACUCGCAGAAGAAGCACCGGCUAACUCCGUGCCAGCAGCCGCGGUAAUUC